UAGCUGCUAAAGUAAAUGUACGUUGUUUUAAAUGAGUUUUAGAUAUUUAUAUUGGAAAACAAGCCAAAACAAAAUCAUAACAUUUUGUUGCAGUGUAUAAUGGGGCAAAGACUACCCUCUCCUUUUUGUUCACUUCAGUCCAUCUUUAACUCACAAAAACAAACUCUCUCUUUCUAAUAAAGCUGCAUAUUGCCAAUUUUCUUCACAUUAGGAAAUGUACAGUGACACAUAUAUUAUGAUUCAUUAAGUCAUGAGCCAUCAUGUUAUAAUCUAGCUGUAGCAAACGUGCACACUUAAGGGACAAGCGUCCCCACGACAGAGUGUGCAUCAGCUGGGUGCAGUUUCAAUCUCUCCACCUUAGAUUGGGACACUUCGCACAACUCAUAGAAGAGGCGCUGACCGCACAGAGAAAUGCCAGUUUACAUGACCUGUUUCCUUAUUAUUUGAACUUUAAUAAAGCUACAACGCAUUAAAUAUAACUGCAUUAAAGAUGCAACGCCGGGUGUUUCCUUUAAAGACACUCGACACGCAAGUUUUGCUUCAGGGGAGCGGCAGCUCUGGCUCCACUUAUUCCACAUCGAGAGUGCUUCUGUAUUUACUUAUUUUGUAUUUUUGUAAUUGUCCCUCAUACUUUGCAAUCUUCAUCAAAUGAAGCUGUUUGGAAAGUUUAGAGUGCAUCUGGACUGUGAGCUGUCUGUGUUUUCUUCCUCUCCUCAUUCAGGCGCAAGUUGUGGUGCUGCUCUCGCACGCCAUCAUUAGAGUUUAAUAUGAACUCGUUACGUUAAAUGAGAUCAAAUGACUAUUCGACUACGAACAUUUUUGUAGACAAAUUGUUAUUGUUGAUGUUGUCGAUAACGUCGACUAAUCGUUUCAGCCCUAAUGUAUAAUGACAAAUCCCUGGAGAUAGAGUCCAGACAUGAGCAAUUUUUCAGUCUAGACAUGUUUUUUUUCCAGUUUAGAUCUGGAAAUGUACUUUGUGUGCGUUACGGAUGUGAAAAAAUGGACAAAGAAAAAGGAAAAAAACUAAACGAUGUGAAACCUGCAGACUUUGAAUUCUGAGACAUUGGUAUAAUAUCCAUUAAGGCUUCGCAAUUGAUUGAAUUAAGACUGAAAUCAAAAUAUGGCCUUGUGCGAUUACUAAACUGCAAAAGGCUGCGUUUUAAAUUCCGAGAGUCUAAAUGAGUCUGCAUCACUGAUCUAUAUAUACAUAUAACUGGAUUGCUCAUGACGUCACAACAGUGCAGCUACUGCGCCGCCAUCUUUGUAUUCCCUAACAUUCUGUAUUCCUAUGAGUCUGAAUGGGAAAUCAUCUGUUUUGGUGAGUAAUUUUUACCCAUCCAGUCACUUUAAAAAAAAAAAAAAUUAAGUCUGCAUACAGCAUCACAAUGCAGUCUUCUUAUACAUGUAAUUAGUUAUUUAUUUGGACUCUAACUUUCCCCCCUGCUUAUUCUAAGUGUGAGCGUGUUAUGUUACUCUUUAUUGCAGCAGCAUUACCUUCAGCGGCGCACGUGUUACCUCAAUAGAAACAAGUUUAAGAAACUGAGUGCAGGCCUGAAUACGGCCCAUCUCAAGUGCAUAAUUUCUAAAGUGGUCAACUGGAAUUGACGAGGAGCACAUGGAUAUUGUAGAAGUUAAACAAGAACCACCAUGGAGUUCCAGAAACAUUGAGGAGACCCAGGAUUUAAAUUUGGUGUCAAAUUCAGAGAUGGGCCUUGUGAGUGUGUGCUGUUGAAUUAAUCUCUCAGCUGUCUUGCAGACUUUCAAGACACUGUCUGAUAAGUCCACCUCGGGACUUCAUGUCGAUCAGUGUGUUCAUCUUGGGAAGAGCUCUCGACACUGAGUGCUGAUAAACAGGCUAAACAUCACUUUGCCUGAAAUGCCAACAAAUCAGGUGUUGCCUCCAGUGUCACUGUGCUAUCCGGUGGAGAACAGUUGUCACUAGCUCUGAUGGCAUGUCUUGCUACCAUUCUUUUGAAAGCUGACUUAAAUUGCCUUGCUGUGGGAUUGUUGUUAAAUCCAUUAGCUUCGUAUUUUUAUUGUAUUGUUCAGUUUAAUAGUCCAUUUUUGUGUGUACUUGGAAGCUGUUAAAUAGGUUCAUGAUAUCUAUUUGUAUUUAUGUUUAAUAAAAAUUAUACUACGAUAAUAAUAUACAUUACGAUAUAGUACAUUUUUGUUUGGAAAAUCAAU